rnacentral:tRNA from 4 species
GGCGCGGUGGCAGAGUGGUGAUGCAGCGGACUGCAAAUCCGUAUAUCCGGGUUCGAUUCCCGGCCGUGCCUCCA